AGCCAUUCUGACAGUGGGUGCUCGCUGCGCGCAAGGCCCGGCACAUCCCCGGCCACAGCCUGUGGAAGCGAGCGGGCAGCCCGUCCGCAGCCGCCACGCUGGCCUCGCUCCCCUCCGGGCUGAGGAGAGCAGGGCAGCGGAGUGGAGCGGGGCGACUCACCACUUGGAGCGCUUUGGCCGGCAGCCGCCAUCCCCACAGACGAGUUUUUAAAAGAAGCUACAGCUUUUGGUGCCUGCAGAAAAGCAGAUUGAGCCCACUGUAUGCAAGCAAAGCACAAGAGAGCACAAGACUAGUAAGUCUGAAAUCUGCUUGACAGGUAGCUAGAGGAACACGACCACCUGGGAAGUUUGACCAAUAUAACUGUUUAUACUGCAAAUGUUUACCUACCACAAAACCAGCUAAAACCAUCAAGACCCCGGCCAGCUUUACAACUCCUGCUUAAAAGUAUUCCAAGAACAACGAAACUAAAAAUAGUCAUGGCAAGAAGUGAUCUAUGUUAACAACAAAAGCCAGCACAAACUAAAGGAAGAGAGCUUAGAAACAGCAGAAAUGUGAGGUAACAAAAGUUGCAAACACACAGCUCAAGAGCCUGAAGAGACAGAACUUCACAUACUGGAUCUGUCCAACACAGAAUACGUAAGAGCUCUCAUCUUCCUGUCCCAGUGUGCUUCAGGAGCAGCACCAGGAUUUGUAAGUGAGCAGCAAAGUGUAGCACAUGGAUUAGGUAUCUUCACAAAGAACACAGCCAUGGUCCUUACUGGCCAGUUCUCACAUCUGAUGAUUUUUCCCCUAAACACAUGACAAACUGUUUUUUCUCCCUUGGACUGUGGACUUCUAAAAAAUGUGAUUCCUGAGAAAGAAACAGAAUUUCUUCUACAAAUCUGCCAGUCUUUUUAAAAAAUGCAUCAAAAAAGAAAAAAAAAUUAAAGGAAAUAACUCUGUAAGCUCUAUAUAAACAGGUAAAAAGAAUUUUUUCUAUAGAACAAAUUAAACAUCACAAACUAAAUAAGCAUUUAGAAGUAUUCUAUGGUCUGUACUGCCUCUAGUGCUGAAGGAAGCAUGGUCUUAAGUUACUGAGUACUAAGGAUUGCCUGACU